GUCCAGGAGACACUUGACUCAAGCUGUGAAUAAGAGGAAGAGUAAGCGUAAAACCUGCCGCCCCAGCAUCUUCUCUCUCCUCAGCCACGACUCGAAAUCCAACCCCCUACAGACGAGUUUCCAUGACAACACAAAGGCAGCAGACUGUUAGCAGGGGAUAAAGGGGUGACCAGAGUGAGGAGACAAGUGAAGCUUGAUCCACCAAAGAGAGGGAAGUCGGGUCGUUCUGAAGCGUUCUCCGUCUUGGGACAUCCACGGGCUGAUGGUCAGAGCGAUGCAACCAAA